rnacentral:tRNA from 1 species
GAGAGGUGGCCGAGUGGCUGAAGGCAACGGUUUGCUAAACCGUCGUGCCGGGUUUACUGGCACCGGGGGUUCGAAUCCCCCCCUCUCC